ACUCCUACGGGAGGCAGCAGUAAGGAAUAUUGCGCAACGGGCGAAAGCCUGACGCAGCGACGCCGCGUGGGGGAUGAAGGUCUUCGGAUUGUAAACCCCUUUCGGGAGGGAAGAUGGAGCGAGCAAUCGUUCGGACGGUACCUCCAGAAGCAGCCACGGCCAACUUCGUGCCAGCAGCCGCGGUAAUACGAAGGUGGCAAGCGUUGUUCGGAUUCACUGGGCGUACAGGGUGUGUAGGCGGUUUGGUAAGCCUUCUGUUAAAGCUUCGGACCCAUCNUUANANGGNGCAGAGGGUACUGCCAGGCUAGAGGGUGGGAGAGGAGCGCGGAAUUCCCG
rnacentral:rRNA from 1 species